AGUGAACGCUGGCGGUAGGCCUAACACAUGCAAGUCGAACGGCAGCACAGUAAGAGCUUGCUCUUACGGGUGGCGAGUGGCGGACGGGUGAGGAAUACAUCGGAAUCUACUUUUUCGUGGGGGAUAACGUAGGGAAACUUACGCUACUACCGCAUACGACCUACGGGUGAAAGCAGGGGAUCUUCGGACCUUGCGCGAUUGAAUGAGCCGGUGUCGGAUUAGCUAGUUGGCGGGGUAAAGGCCCACCAAGGCGACGAUCCGUAGCUGGUCUGAGAGGAUGAUCAGCCACACUGGAACUGAGACACGGUCCAGACUCCUACGGGAGGCAGCAGUGGGGAAUAUUGGACAAUGGGCGCAAGCCUGAUCCAGCCAUGCCGCGUGUGUGAAGAAGGCCUUCGGGUUGUAAAGCCCUUUUGUUGGGAAAGAAAAGCAGCAGGUUAAUACCCCGCUGUUCUGACGGUACCCAAAGAAUAAGCACCGGCUAACUUCGUG
rnacentral:rRNA from 1 species